GGGAUUGCCCUAGUAACGGCGAGUGAAGCGGCAACAGCUCAAAUUUGAAAUCUGGCGUAAGCCCGAGUUGUAAUUUGUAGAGGAUGCUUCUGGGUAGCGACCGAUCUAAGUUCCUUGGAACAGGACGUCAUAGAGGGUGAGAAUCCCGUAUGUGACCGGCCCGCACCCUUUACGUAGCUCCUUCGACGAGUCGAGUUGUUUGGGAAUGCAGCUCUAAAUGGGAGGUAAAUUUCUUCUAAAGCUAAAUACCGGCCAGAGACCGAUAGCGCACAAGUAGAGUGAUCGAAAGAUGAAAAGUACUUUGGAAAGAGAGUUAAAAAGCACGUGAAAUUGUUGAAAGGGAAGCGCCUGCAACCAGACUUCGUGGCAGUGUUCCGCCGGUCUUCUGACCGGUUUAUUCUCUGUCGCGAGGCCAUCAUCGUCUAGGCCCGCCGGAUAAGACCUUAGGAAUGUAGCUCACCUUCGGGGGAGUGUUAUAGCUUAUGGUGAUGCGGCGAGGCUUGGGCGAGGUCCGCGCUUCGGCAAGGAUGAUGGCGUAAUGGUUGUCGGCGGCCCGUCUUGAAACACGGACCAAGGAGUCUAACAUCUAUGCGAGUGUUCGGGUGUCAAACCCCUACGCGUAAUGAAAGUGAACGGAGGUGGGAACCGCAAGGUGCACCAUCGACCGAUCCUGAUGUCCUCGGAUGGAUUUGAGUAAGAGCAUAGCUGUUGGGACCCGAAAGAUGGUGAACUAUGCCUGAAUAGGGUGAAGCCAGAGGAAACUCUGGUGGAGGCUCGCAGCGGUUCUGACGUGCAAAUCGAUCGUCAAAUUUGGGUAUAGGGGCG
rnacentral:rRNA from 3 species